rnacentral:lncRNA from 1 species
GAAGAAGAAUUGAAGAGAGAGAUAGUGCUCUUAUUCUCUUGAAGAAGAACUUAUCUGAGGGUCCUCUUUGCCUCCUUUAUAAAGAGAGAAGUUGUCAUGUGUUACCUCCAAAUUUCGUAAUUGAAGUAGAGAAUUAGUGCCCACAAUCACGAGGAUCGUGAUUUAUUGGUUACAGGUAUUAAUUACGUAAUUUUAGCUCAUGUGC